rnacentral:rRNA from 1 species
UUGCAGUUAAGAAGCUCGUAGUUGGAUUUCUGUGGGGACGGGGCGGCCGGCCGCAACUCGCGGUUCGAGCUAGCACUUUCCCUACAUCCUGCCGCGAACCGUGCUACCAUUAGUUUGGUGGCGCUGGGGAUCGGCUCGAUUACUUUGAGAAAAAUAGAGUGUUCAAAGCAGGCCACACGCCUUGAAUAAGUUAGCAUGGAAUAAUAACUAAGGACUUCGGUUCUAUUUUGUUGGUGUUCGGGACUGAAGUAAUGAUUGAUAGGGACAGUUGGGGCGGUCAGUAUUCCAAAGCGAGAGGUGAAAUUCUUAGACCUUCGGAAGACUAACAGCUGCGAAAGCGUUCCGCAAGGAUGUUCCCUUUGAUCAAGAACGAAAGUUGGGGGAUCGAAGACGAUCAGAUACCGUCGUAGUCUCAACUAUAAACUAUACCAGCUAGGGAUCGGCCAACGUUAUUUAAUACCGACUUGGUCGGCACCUUAUGAGAAAUCAAAGCAUCUGGGUUCCGGGGGGAGUAUGGUCGCAAGGCUGGAACUUAAAGGAAUUGACGGAAGGGCACCACCAGCCGUGGAGCCUGUGGCUUAAUUUGACUCAACACGGGAAAACUUACCAGGUCCAGACAUAGUAAGGAUUGACAGAUUGAUAGCUCUU